rnacentral:lncRNA from 1 species
UUUUUUUUUUUUUUUUAAUGUGUCUAAACAAUAAAAACCAAAGUAUUCAUACGAAGACAUACAGUCAUUCAAAAGAAUGAGAAAGGAUCGAUGGCAAUGGGGAGAUGACUUCUUCAGUGAGUGUUCACCAUGGAAACAUACAGACUUGAGAAAGUGGAGACAGAUGCCUCCUGGAACUUGGUUGCCUGCUGGCAUGCCUCAGGUUUGACAAUGAAGUGGAGAGUGAUUAAGGAAGACACCUAACACCUACCCUGGCUUACACAUGCACCAAAAUAUGUACAUGUACACUAACAUAAAGUACAGGUGCUGCAGUUAUUAGUAGACUGCUUGCCUAUCACAUACAAAACCUUGGUUUCAAUACCAGGCUUGGUGAUACACACUUGUGAUCCUAGUUAGGAGAACAUAGGAUCAGAAAUUCAAGGCCACUUUCAGCUACCUAGCAUAGGAUAUGUAAGACUAUGUCUCAAAAACAAUUAACAAAUAGCCAAAAUAAUAGUAAAUGUGGUUUGUUAAGCUUAAAGUAUAUAGCUGAGUGUAAAGGUAAAUUGAAGAGCAGUGAGUUCCUUUUGUUGCCAUUGAACUUCCCCUGAAUUACAGUUUUGCCUCUGUUUUUAUACAUGUAGAUAAGUCUUCAAAGGUAUAAAAUUUUUCUUUAUGUUGUGUGAGUAAUACUAUUAAAUGGAUGUUUUUAUGUAGUUUUCAUAGAAGGAAUGUAUUUGAGAUGAGGAUAGAUUUAAAUUCUUUUCAUAUACUUUUAUUUUAAAAUAAUUAUGUAUAUUUAAGUAUUAUUUUUAAAUAUUAUGAUGUCAAGGCAUAUUAAUCCUUUUGCCUGUGAUAAUAUAAAUUUCCCAAAACUUGGAAUAUUUGAGAAGAAAAUAAAAAAUACUAGGAAUUAUAGAGCUUCUUCCAUAUUAGAAGCAAAGAAACUAAAGAGACUUUAGAUAAAAGAUUGAGGUCCCACCUGGAGCAGUACUUCCGUACUCUGGUGACUCUCUGGGAGUACUUUUGUUUCUUUGCGUUUUUUGGCCCGCAGUUUGCAUUCAUUGAUCAGUGAGUUGGUUGACAUUCAAACCCACCGACAGCAAUGAAUGUUGAGUGCAGCCAUCAAUGUUUCCUUUUGAUGAAAUUGUCUUGGUCUUUUCUAUCUCCUGGCUCUUCUUCCCACUAUGGUUCUUUGAAGUCUGUUGUAUGUUAGUAACUAGUCAUCUGUAUGGUUGUGGACUCAUAAUUAUAGAUCACCUUGACUGUAUAGCAAGAACUUGUUCAAGACAGAAAAGUUGUGAGGAAGAAGGCACUAUGUGAGAACCUUGUAAGUAGCUCUGAUCACAUGGGCUGAGACUUGGAUGUUGAUGUCUGUAAAGGAGCCCUCAGAGACAUUGCUUCAUCUUUUGUUUCAAGCUGAGACGUUAAGUGCCCUUUUCAAGGUAAAGCAGUAUAGAUUAUGAUUGCAGUUAAGUAAAAAUUUUUGUAGUAAACAUUUGCUGUGAGCCAGAAACUGUUCAAAGUACCCUCAUAUAUCUUCUCAUUAAAUUAAAACUCUGAGGUUCUCUCCUCUCCUAUUCUACAUUUGAGAAAACAUACUUGGAUACGGAGGCUCAGAGAUGACCCAGAAUUCCUUAAAUUAGCACAUGGAGAUGGAAAUGUAUCUGGUUCUCUCAUGGAGAUGUCAAAUCCCUAACCGCAGUAACUGAAACUGGAGGCACAAUAUGAUUUGUAUAGACAGUGAGUAACUCUGUGAGUAUUUUUGCUGAGUAAAUCUCUUGACCCUAAAGCAAAAAUUUGAAAGGACGUAGAAGAAAUGAGAAUAAAAGACUUAACUAGAUUUUUUUCCUACAGUAAAUAGACAUUUUUAAUACACCCUAUUUCUGACUAGAAUGACACAUUUCUAGAAGAUAUUUGAGUGCAUUUGGUACUAUGAUGGCACUUCCCAUAAAUUGUUAAAAUGAAACACUUAUUUAUC